rnacentral:rRNA from 1 species
CGGUGCGAACAGGACGAGGGAGCUUGCUUCCUUCUUGACGUUAGCGGCGGACGGGUGAGUAACACGUGGAUAACCUACCUAUAAGACUGGGAUAACUUCGGGAAACCGGAGCUAAUACCGGAUAAUAUAUUGAACCGCAUGGUUCAAUAGUGAAAGACGGUUUUGCUGUCACUUAUAGAUGGAUCCGCGCCGCAUUAGCUAGUUGGUAAGGUAACGGCUUACCAAGCCAACGAUGCGUAGCCGACCUGAGAGGGUGAUCGGCCACACUGGAACUGAGACACGGUCCAGACUCCUACGGGAGGCAGCAGUAGGGAAUCUUCCGCAAUGGGCGAAAGCCUGACGGAGCAACGCCGCGUGAGUGAUGAAGGUCUUCGGAUCGUAAAACUCUGUUAUUAGGGAAGAACAAAUGUGUAAGUAACUAUGCACGUCUUGACGGUACCUAAUCAGAAAGCCACGGCUAACUACGUGCCAGCAGCCGCGGUAAUACGUAGGUGGCAAGCGUUAUCCGGAAUUAUUGGGCGUAAAGCGCGCGUAGGCGGUUUUUUAAGUCUGAUGUGAAAGCCCACGGCUCAACCGUGGAGGGUCAUUGGAAACUGGAAAACUUGAGUGCAGAAGAGGAAAGUGGAAUUCCAUGUGUAGCGGUGAAAUGCGCAGAGAUGUGGAGGAAACACCAGUGGCGAAGGCGACUUUCUGGGUCUGUAACUGACGCUGAUGUGCGAAAGGCGUGGGGAUCAAACAGGGAUUAGAUACCCUGGUAGUCCACGCCGUAAAACGAAUGGAGUGCUAAGUGUUAGGGGGGUUUCCGCCCCUUAGUGCUGCAGCUAACGCAUUAAAGCACUCCGCCUGGGGGGAGUACGACCGCAAGGGUUUGAAACUCAAAGGGAAUUGGACGGGGACCCGCACAGCGGUGGAACCAUGUGGUUUAAUUUCGAAGCAACGCGAGAACCUUACCAAAUCUUGACAUCCCUCUGACCCCUCUAAAAGUGAGGUUUUCCGCUUUCGGGGGGGACAGAGUGACAGGUGGUGCAUGGUUGUCGUCAGCUCGUGUCGUGAGAUGUUGGGUUAAGUCCCGCAACGAGCGCAACCCUUAAGCUUAGUUGCCAUCAUUAAGUUGGGCACUCUAAGUUGACUGCCGGUGACAAACCGGAGGAAGGUGGGGAUGACGUCAAAUCAUCAUGCCCCUUAUGAUUUGGGCUACACACGUGCUACAAUGGACAAUACAAAGGGCAGCGAAACCGCGAGGUCAAGCAAAUCCCAUAAAGUUGUUCUCAGUUCCGGAUUGUAGUCUGCAACUCGACUAUAUGAAGCUGGAAAUCGCUAGUAAUCAGUAGAUCAAGC